UACAGGGGUGCAAACGUUGCUCGGAAUCAUUGGGCGUAAAGCGCACGUAGGCGGUUCGUUAUGUCGGAUGUGAAAGCCCUUGGCUUAACCGAGGAAGUGCAUCCGAAACUGGCGAGCUAGAGUACGAAAGAGGAUCGCGGAAUUCCCGGUGUAGAGGUGAAAUUCGUAGAUAUCGGGAGGAACACCGGUGGCGAAGGCGGGUCUCUGGGCAAUUCCUGACGCUGAGGCGC
rnacentral:rRNA from 1 species